AGCAGUAGCCACGGUAAUACGAAGGGGGCUAGCGUUGUUCGGAUUUACUGGGCGUAAAGCGCACGUAGGCGGAUCGAUCAGUCAGGGGUGAAAUCCCAGAGCUCAACUCUGGAACUGCCUUUGAUACUGUCGAUCUGGAGUAUGGAAGAGGUGAGUGGAAUUCCGAGUGUAGAGGUGAAAUUCGUAGAUAUUCGGAGGAACACCAGUGGCGAAGGCGGCUCACUGGUCCAUUACUGACGCUGAGGUGCGAAAGCGUGGGGAGCAAACAGGAUUAGAGACCCCUGUAGUCCCUGUCUCUUAUAC
rnacentral:rRNA from 1 species